UCGGUUCGCCGCCCGUCGGUGUCAACUGGCAUGUCUGUGGGACGUCCUGCCGGUGGCGGUACGGGCUGUUGCGUAGGGUCGCCCCCGAAGCACGCCGGCGUGUCCCGGUCCGCCGAUCCAAUCCCGCCGCGGUGCUCUUCACUGAGUGUCGAGGUGGGCCGGCACGUUUACUUUGAACAAAUUAGAGUGCUCAAAUCAGGUCGUAUUUAGGCCUGAAUACUGUGUGCAUGGAAUAAUGGAAUAGGACCUCGGUUCUAUUUUGUUGGUUUUUUGGAAUCAGAGGUAAUGAUUAAUAGGGACAGUCGGGGGCAUUCGUAUUGCGACGUUAGAGGUGAAAUUCUUGGAUCGUCGCAAGACGAACCUAAGCGAAAGCAUUUGCCAAGUAUGUUCCCGUUAAUCAAGAACGAAAGUUAGAGGUUCGAAGGCGAUCAGAUACCGCCCUAGUUCUAACCAUAAACGAUGCCAGCCAGCGAUCCGCCGAAGUUCCUCCGAUGACUCGGCGGGCAGCUUCCGGGAAACCAAAGCUUUUGGGUUCCGGGGGAAGUAUGGUUGCAAAGCUGAAACUUAAAGGAAUUGACGGAAGGGCACCACCAGGAGUGGAGCCUGCGGCUUAAUUUGACUCAACACGGGAAACCUCACCAGGCCCGGACACCGGAAGGAUUGACAGAUUGAGAGCUCUUUCUUGAUUCGGUGGGUGGUGGUGCAUGGCCGUUCUUAGUUGGUGGAGCGAUUUGUCUGGUUAAUUCCGGUAACGAACGAGACUCUAGCCUGCUAAAUAGACGCCGGUAUCACAAUUGCUACCGGCGAAAUCAAUAUCUUCUUAGAGGGACAGGCGGCUUUCAGCCGCACGAAACUGAGCAAUAACAGGUCUGUGAUGCCCUUAGAUGUCCUGGGCCGCACGCGCGCUACACUGAAGGAAUCAGCGUGUAUACCCUGGCCGAAAGGCUCGGGCAACCCGUUGAACCUCCUUCGUGCUAGGGAUUGGGGCUUGCAAUUGUUCCCCAUGAACGAGGAAUUCCCAGUAAGCGCGAGUCAUAAGCUCGCGUUGAUUACGUCCCUGCCCUUUGUACACACCGCCCGUCGCUACUACCGAUUGAAUGAUUUAGUGAGGUCUUCGGACUGGUGCGCGGCGGCCGCCUGCGCGGGCGCCGAUGCCACCGGGAAGAUGACCGAACUUGAUCAUUUAGAGGAAGUAAAAGUCGUAACAA
rnacentral:rRNA from 1 species